rnacentral:rRNA from 1 species
CUACGGGAGGCUCCAGUGAGGAAUAUUGCACAAUGGGGGGAACCCUGAUGCAGCAACGCCGCGUGGAGGAUGGCGCAUUUCGGUGUGUAAACUCCUUUUAUAUGUCAAGAAAAUGACGGUAGCAUAUGAAUAAGCACCGGCUAACUCCGUGCCAGCAGCCGCGGUAAUACGGAGGGUGCAAGCGUUAAUCGGAAUCACUGGGCGUAAAGGACGCGUAGGCGGGUUGGAAAGUCAGGUGUGAAAUCCUACAGCUUAACUGUAGAACUGCACUUGAAACUUCUAAUCUAGAGUAUGGGAGGGGGAGAUGGAAUUAGUGGUGUAGGGGUAAAAUCCGUAGAUAUCACUAGGAAUACCUAAAGCGAAGGCGAUCUCCUGGAACAUUACUGACGCUAAGGCGUGAAAGCGUGGGGAGCAAACAGGAUUAGAUACCCUAGUAGUC